rnacentral:snRNA from 1 species
AUACUUACCUGGCAGGGGUGACUGCAUGAUAAAGCAGGUGGAUCACCUAGAACGAGGAUCAGCCAUUGCACUUCGGCUUUCUGACCUCUAUGAAUUCUCCACAUGUGAGAAUCUCAACUGCAUAAUUUCUGCUAGUGGGGACUGCGUUCGCGCUUUCCCCU